rnacentral:rRNA from 1 species
CCUUACUCCCGUGUGUCGUCCGUUGGCCGUCUCAGUAUUUGAUCAUGGCUCAGGACGAACGCUGGCGGCGUGCUUAACACAUGCAAGUCGAACGAUGAACCGGAGCUUGCUCCGGGGAUUAGUGGCGAACGGGUGAGUAACACGUGGGCAACCUGCCCCAGACACCGGGAUAACCUUCCGAAAGGAUGGCUAAUACCGGAUACGACCACUUCGGGCAUCCGACGGUGGUGGAAAGGAUUCUGGUCUGGGAUGGGCCCGCGGCCUAUCAGCUUGUUGGUGGGGUAAUGGCCUACCAAGGCGACGACGGGUAGCCGGCCUGAGAGGGCGACCGGCCACACUGGGACUGAGACACGGCCCAGACUCCUACGGGAGGCAGCAGUGGGGAAUAUUGCGCAAUGGGCGAAAGCCUGACGCAGCGACGCCGCGUGAGGGACGAAGGUCUUCGGAUUGUAAACCUCUUUCAGCAGGGACGAAGCGAAAGUGACUGUACCUGCAGAAGAAGCACCGGCCAACUACGUG